AUUGAACGCUGGCGGCAGGCCUAACACAUGCAAGUCGAGCGGAGCGGCGGACGGGUGAGUAAUGCCUAGGAAUCUGCCUGGUAGUGGGGGAUAACGUCCGGAAACGGGCACUACUACCGCAUACUAUCAAAUGUGCCUCGGUCGGAUUAGCUAGUUGGUGGGGUAAAGGCCUACCAAGGCGACGAUCCGUAACUGGUCUGAGAGGAUGAUCAGUCAAAGGGGAACGGAGACACGGACCAGAAGGCUACGGGAGGCAGCAGUGGGGAAUAUUGGACAAUGGGCGAAAGCGUGAACCAGCCAUGCCGGGUGUGUGAAGAAGGUCUUCGGAUUGUAAAGCACUGGAAGUUGGGAGGCGGUACCAACAGAAUAAGCACCGGCUAACUUCGUGCCAGCAGCCGCGGUAAUAC
rnacentral:rRNA from 1 species